CNCGUUACGAUUCGCCCUUAGAGUUUGAUCAUGGNCUCAGGACGAACGCUGGCGGCGUGCCUAAUACAUGCAAGUCGAGCGGGGUUACUACGUCAGAUUCCUUCGGGAAGACGAUGUUUUAACCUAGCGGCGGACGGGUGAGUAACGCGUGGAGAACCUGUCUCUCAGUUGGGGAUAACCUGGCGAAAGUCGGGCUAAUCCCGAAUACGCUCUUGAGGUGGCAUCACUUUGGGAGGAAAGGUGCUUUCGGGCAUCGCUGAGAGGUGGCUCCGCGUCGGAUUAGCUAGCUGGGGGGGUAACGGCUCACCAGGGCGACGAUCCGUAGCUGGUCUGAGAGGAUGAUCAGCCACACUGGGACUGAGACACGGCCCAGACUCCUACGGGAGGCAGCAGUGGGGAAUCUUCCGCAAUGGGCGAAAGCCUGACGGAGCAACGCCGCGUGAACGAAGAAGGCCUUCGGGUCGUAAAGUUCUGUCCUCAGGGAAGAACCCUCAUGGGAGGAAAUGCCCAUGAGCUGACGGUACCUGGGAAGGAAGCCCUGGCUAACUACGUGCCAGCAGCCGCGGUAAUACGUAGAGGGCAAGCGUUGUCCGGAAUUACUGGGCGUAAAGGGUACGCAGGCGGAUAUAUAAGUCAAAUGUGAAAGGCACCGGCUCAACCGGUGAGCGGCAUUUGAAACUGUAUAUCUUGAGUUCAGGAGAGGAGAGCGGAAUUCCUGGUGUAGCGGUGGAAUGCGUAGAUAUCAGGAAGAACACCAGUGGCGAANGCGGCUCUCUGGCCUGAAACUGACGCUCAGGUACGAAAGCUGGGGGAGCGAACGGGGAUUAGAUACCCCGGUAGUCCCAGCCGU
rnacentral:rRNA from 1 species